GAUGAACGCUAGCGAUAGGCCUAACACAUGCAAGUCGAGGGGCAUCACAUGAAGUAGCAAUACGGAUGGUGGCGACCGGCGCACGGGUGAGUAACACGUAUGCAACCUGCCUUCAACAAGGGGAUAACCCGUUGAAAGACGGACUAAUACCCUAUAACACAGGGGUCCCGCAUGGGAAUAUUUGUUAAAGGACAACCGGUUGAAGAUGGGCAUGCGUUCCAUUAGCUAGUUGGCGGGGUAACGGCCCACCAAGGCAACGAUGGAUAGGGGAACUGAGAGGUUUAUCCCCCACACUGGUACUGAGACACGGACCAGACUCCUACGGGAGGCAGCAGUGAGGAAUAUUGGUCAAUGGACGCAAGUCUGAACCAGCCACGUCGCGUGAAGGAAGACGGCCCUACGGGUUGUAAACUUCUUUUAACGGGAAUAAAGUGCCCCACGCGUGGGGUUUUGCAUGUACCGUAUGAAUAGGAUCGGCUAACUCCGUGCCAGCAGCCGCGGUAA
rnacentral:rRNA from 1 species